GCCUGACUUUGGCUUUGGGGCAGGGAGGGGGCUAAGGUGAGGCAGGUGGCACCAGCCAGGUGCACACUCAAUGCCCGUGAGCCCAGACACUGGACCCUGCCUGGACCCUCGCGGAUAGACAAGAACCGAGGGGCCUCUGCACCCUGGGCCCAGCUCUGUCCCACACCGCGGUCACAUGGCACCACCUCUCUUGCAGCCUCCACCAAGGGCCCAUCGGUCUUCCCCCUGGUGCCCUCCUCCAGGAGCGUCUCUGAGGGCACAGCGGCCCUGGGCUGCCUGGUCAAGGACUACUUCCCCGAACCGGUGACGGUGUCGUGGAACUCAGGGGCCCUGACCAGAAGCGUGCACACCUUCCCGGCUGUCCUACAGUCCUCAGGACUCUACUCCCUCAGCAGCGUGGUGACCGUGCCCUCCAGCAGCUUGGGCACCCAGACCUACACCUGCAACGUAGAUCACAAGCCCAGCAACACCAAGGUGGACAAGACAGUUGAGCCCAAAACCCCAUGUUGUGACACAACUCACACAUGCCCACCAUGUGCAGCAACUGAACCCCUGGGGGGACCGUCAGUCUUCCUCUUCCCCCCAAAACCCAAGGAUACCCUCAUGAUCUCCCGGACCCCUGAGGUCACGUGCGUGGUGGUGGACGUGAGCCACGAAGACCCUGAGGUCAAGUUCAACUGGUACGUGGACGGCGUGGAGGUGCAUAAUGCCAAGACAAAGCCGUGGGAGGAGCAGUACAACAGCACGUACCAUGUGGUCAGCGUCCUCACCGUCGUGCACCAGAACUGGCUGAACGGCAAGGAGUACAAGUGCAAGGUCUCCAACAAAGGCCUCCCAGCCCCCAUCGAGAAAACCAUCUCCAAAACCAAAGGGCAGCCCCGAGAACCACAGGUGUACACCCUGCCCCCAUCCCAGAAGAUGACCAAGAACCAGGUCACCCUGACCUGCCUGGUCAAAGGCUUCUACCCCAGCGACAUCGCCGUGGAGUGGGAGAGCAAUGGGCAGCCGGAGAACAACUACAAGACCACGCCUCCCAUGCUGGACUCCAACGGCUCCUUCUUCCUCUAUAGCAAGCUCACCGUGGACAAGAGCAGGUGGCAGCAGGGGAACGUCUUCUCAUGCUCCGUGAUGCAUGAGGGUCUGCAGAACCACUACACGCAGAAGAGCCUCUCCCUGUCCCCGGGGUAA